GGCGAGGAGAGCUUGCUUUCUCAAGCGAGUGGCGAACGGGUGAGUAACGCGUGAGGACCUGCCUCAAAGAGGGGGACAACAGUUGGAAACGACUGCUAAUACCGCAUAAGCCGGCAUCGGAAAAGGAGCAAUCCGCUUUGAGAUGGCCUCGCGUCCGAUUAGCUAGUUGGUGAGGUAAUGGCCCACCAAGGCGACGAUCGGUAGCCGGACUGAGAGGUUGAACGGCCACAUUGGGACUGAGACACGGCCCAGACUCCUACGGGAGGCAGCAGUGGGGAAUAUUGCACAAUGGGGGAAACCCUGAUGCAGCGACGCCGCGUGGAGGAAGAAGGUCUUCGGAUUGUAAACUCCUGUUGUUGAGGAAGAUAAUGACGGUACUCAACAAGGAAGUGACGGCUAACUACGUGCCAGCAGCCGCGGUAAAACGUAGGUCACAAGCGUUGUCCGGAAUUACUGGGUGUAAAGGGAGCGCAGGCGG
rnacentral:rRNA from 1 species